CACACUUGGCCACCAACCACAGUCGACUACGAUAUCAAGUCAUUCUUUAACUUUACUUCGUCGUGAACCAAAUCAUUUCGACUCGGACUAUUUGGCGAAGCUCUAUCCGUUUACAUCCAAAAGUUGUUUUUUUAGAGAAAACGGCAUCUAUUUUCACUCACUUUGUCAACAUGAAAACUUUGUUUAUCCUCGUUGGUCUCGUUAUUUUGGCUGUCGCAACUGGAAUGCCAAGGGAUAAAGAUGAAGGAAUGAAUUCAGAGGGGAAGUCAUGUUACAUCUAUCACGGGGUGUAUGGAACAUGCAAGGCCAAGUGCAGUAGUAAAGAGAAAUCCAUGGAGGGAAUGGGCGAGUGCAAAGGCGAUCUGUGCUGCUACAAGACACCAUGGUAAUUUCCAGAGUAUUUCAAGAUCCAUGUUAGAACAUAAAAGAACAUCGAAAAUUGAAAUGGAAUUCAAUAAAAUUGAAUAAAAAAUCAUUCUGAA